rnacentral:piRNA from 1 species
UGGGCUUCUACGUUAAUUCUGAGAGUGGCC